rnacentral:tRNA from 1 species
UAGGAGGUAGUAUAGUGGGAGUACAGGAGAUUUUGGGGCUCCAGGUGUCAGUUCAAAUCUGACUUUUCUAG